rnacentral:lncRNA from 10 species
GCUCGGGUUACCUUCCACCGUGUGGAAGCUUAGUUGUUUUGCUGUUUGCAAUAAAUGUUGCUGCUGCUCACUCUUUGGGUCCGCACUGUCUUUAUGAGUUGUAACACUCACCAUGAAGGUCUGCAGCUUCACUCCUGAGGCCAGCGACACCACGAACCCACCGGGAGGAAUGAACAACUCCGGACGGGAGGAACGGAGAACUCCAGACGCGCUGCCUGAAGAGCUGUAACACUCACCGCGAAGGUCUGCAGCUUCAUUCCUGAAGCCAGGGAGACCACAAAUCCAUCAGAAGAAAAAAAACGCUGAACAUGUCCGAACAUCAGAAGGAACAAACUCCAGACACGCCAUCUUUAAGAACUGUAACACUCAUUCACUGUGAGGGUCCCCGGCUUCAUUCUUGAAGUCAGUGAGACCAAGAACCCACCAAUUCCAGACACAGUUGGAAUCAGGGUCUGCUAUAUUUGUGUUUGGAACUGGAGACCUGAACUUCAAAUCUGCCUCUGGCUGAGUGGCUUUGUAGUCAUGGUGACCUCUACAAACCUGAGAUUCUCAUUCUGAAAACUAAGGACAGGGGUACUUUUCUCUAGAGGCUGGGAGUGAGGAAUCUGUGACAAAGUAUGUAAGCACCUGUCACAGGGCCUGAUAUGGAGUAGGUGUCCCACAGAGGUCUUUCCCCGUCUGAGAGAGGAUGUGCUUAACUUCAUAACUUAAGGAGAGUGGUAAUUAAAGUCUGAGGAUAUUGCUAGCACCAUAGCGGCCCUAUCAUCGCCAGGCAUCAGGUGACUGUGUAUGCUGGAUGGCUUUCAUGCAUUGUCGUGUACACCUUCUCAUUUCAUUUUGGCACAGAAUCUCCUCUUUCUUUACAUUGUUUUUCUUCUUAUGCUGCUUUCAGGACGGGAGCUUUGCUUUGUGUUGAUACACGCAGCGAAUCCGUCAAAACUUGAUUGUUGUAUUUUCUGUGUCUCAGUGACAUUUACCGAAUUAUUUGGUUAUUUGAGACCAACAAACCAUUUCUCUCCUACGUUAACAUUAGUCGAUUUGACUCAAAGGAAUAAAGUGAAGGCAAGAGCACUAUCUCACAGUGACAACGUUGUGCUCCAUUUUACUGGGAUUUUCCAGAGCUUAACGAGGUUUCCCAAAUUGCUUCACUCCACAAACGUUUUCCAAGCCAUUUGUGAAUGGCCUUAAUUAAGAAGACUGGAAAUGUGUCUCCUGUCUCCUUCACAGGCCCCACCCCAAUGCCGUUCUGGGGUCCGAACCUUAGGGGCUAUUGAAAUGCCUGUCCCCAAUAUCAUAAGACUGUGCUGGUCAUCGACGUUGGGUGUCUUUUCCAACUGGCUGCUGCAUCUGCCCGAUUCACCACUAUCCAC